GUCAUUAUCACCCCUCAAGCCCUCGUGCUUGGUGUUGGACGGUCUGGCGGAAGUGUCGUGCACCCCGCCCCUCCUAAAGACAAUGACGGCGGCCUCGUGGAACCCCCGGUACACUGAGCUUCUUUACCGAGCACGUAUCGGAUCAAGGGCGCCCGGGACACGGUCUUCUCCC
rnacentral:misc_RNA from 1 species